rnacentral:rRNA from 1 species
UACGUAGGGGGCAAGCGUUGUCCGGAAUCAUUGGGCGUAAAGAGCGUGUAGGCGGCCCGAUAAGUCCGCCGUGAAAGUCCAGGGCUCAACCCUGGAAUGCCGGGUGGAUACUGUCGGGCUAGAGUCCGGAAGGGGCGAGUGGAAUUCCUGGUGUAGCGGUGAAAUGCGCAGAUAUCAGGAGGAACACCGAUGGCGAAGGCAGCUCGCUGGGACGGUACUGACGCUGAGACGCGAAAAGCGUGGGGAGCAAACAGG